UAAUAAUUUGUCUUGGACGGCACUUUCCAUGGGGGAUAAGGCACAAAAUGCCACCCCCAAAUGCACCUGCAGGUGCCUUGUUAGCCUUGUUUCACUGGGGGCUCAAGAGCAUGCCAGGUGGCUACCCUAGAGCCCCCCUCAAGUGGGCAUCUCUUGGUAUUGCAGGCUGGCGGUGAGGAUCUCUGAUUUCUGUGCUCCUUUUGCUCUGAUCCCUGCUGUGAAGCCGGAC